rnacentral:snRNA from 1 species
GGAUAUGGGGGUGAUCUGGCUGUGACAUCUGUUACUCUACUGACUGCAAGAGUUGAUCCUGCUGAUUUUGUUGGCUAGGAAGGUGCUCUCUUCCUCCCUAAACACUUCAUGUGCAUCUCUCCAUCUGUAUGCUCAUUUGAAGAGGAUGAUCUUCCCCAAUAGAAGGAGAACCAGUCUUUGGUCAAAGAAAUACAAUUAGCUGUGCUCCCCUGCUAGAACUUCCCAACAAGUCUCAAAUUUAUUAAUCAACUUCUCUCACUGUGGUUCCUUGCUGUGCUGGAUAGCAAGUGUCAACUUGAGAUACCUGGGUUGAAGGAACAUCAUUUGGGGAAUUGCUUCCAUU